UAUAAGGGAUUUUGACAUUUUGCUUGCACUGUUUGACCACCCGUCUUAUUCAAAAAAAAUUUGAAAUUAUUAUUUAUUUUAUUUGUGACUUACUUUAUUAUCCAAAGUACUUUAAGCACAACUUUUUAUUUUUUAUAUUUGCACAAAAUUUUUAAAUAAGACGGGUGGUCAAACAGUGCAAGCAAAAUGUCAAAAUCCCUUAUA
rfam:Oryza rufipogon genomic scaffold, chr07